GAUGAACGCUGGCGGCGUGCCUAAUACAUGCAAGUCGAGCGAACAGACGAGGAGCUUGCUCCUCUGACGUUAGCGGCGGACGGGUGAGUAACACGUGGAUAACCUACCUAUAUGACUGGGAUAACUUCGGGAAACCGGAGCUAAUACCGGAUAAUAUAUUGAACCGCAUGGUUCAAUAGUGAAUGACGGUUUUGCUGUCACUUAUAGAUGGAUCCGCGCCGCAUUAGCUAGUUGGUAAGGUAACGGCCUACCAAGGCAACGAUGCGUAGCCGACCUGAGAGGGUGAUCGGCCACACUGGAACUGAGACACGGUCCAGACUCCUACGGGAGGCAGCAGUAGGGAAUCUUGCGCAAUGGGCGAAAGCUUGACGGAGCAACGCCGCGUGAGUGAUGAAGGUCUUCGGAUCGUAAAGCUCUGUUAUUAGGGAAGAACAAAUGUGUAAGUAACUAUGCACGUCUUGACGGUACCUAAUCAGAAAGCCACGGCUAACUACGUG
rnacentral:rRNA from 1 species